ensembl:lncRNA
UUUUUUUGACAGUCAUUUUUUAAUUUAAGUAUAGAAAUAAGGUCUUUAGUUUUAGUGUUCUGCUAAUGCUUUGUGAAUGCCAUUAUUUGCAGUGCAAACUGAAACUUGGUGAAUACCAAAGAUGUUAUCACUGAUUUAAUUAAUUUUUACAAUUGUUUAUUUGACACUCAUUUAGAGAGAAAUAACAUUAGCAUUUUUAGAAUAAAAAAAAUGAUACGCUAAGUCUCUAUUGAAGACACUUUUUAAGCCUACUGAAUGUUAAAUUAAUUAUUAAGUAGAGGAAAUGCAAAACAAUGCAUCACAAAAUAUUUGCAGUCUUUAUCAGAAAUUGAAAUGUGCUAGCAGAUGUACCGUAAACCAAUUUCUUACAGUGCAGCAUUCUCUGGAUUCUGUGCGAAAUCUUUUAUUAAUGUUUUCCUGUAACCUUGGGCGAUAUUGUGACAUAUUUUGUGCUGUUUCUAAAGAGAAUGGGUUAACAGAGGAUACGUCUGGGGACUUCUAUCCAAAUUAUAAUUUGUAGACAACCUGUGAAAUUUCACCAGCACUAUCCCAGCGGGGGAUAGUGGGAUUUCCACAUCCUCUGCCAGUGGGAGAGCACACUGUUGGCUCCUUUGCAGCCUGGCACCCAUUCUAAGUGCCUGCUGCCUUCAGCAGGGCUGCUACGUGGCAUGGGAUUUUUCUGCCUCAGGUGCAGACCUUUGCGCUUCUGUUGAACCUCAUGAAGUGUCUUCUGGCCCAGUCUCAAGCCAAGGAAUGUCCUGAUUGAAGCUCUGCCAUUUGGCAUGCCAUCUCAUCCUCCUAAUUUAAUGUCAUCUGCAAACUUGUUAGCAUGUAGUCUAUGCCCUUGCCCGGGUCAGGGCAACUGGUAAGAUGUUGAUUCAUAUGGGCCACAAAAUUGAUCCCUGCAGGGCUCAUUGCUAGCUGGCAGUGGGGAGUAAACCAUUGGUCAAUGUCCUUCAAGCCUGGGGAUUUGUGCAGGUUUCUGCCCACCUCACUCCAUUCAUCCAGGCAUGAAAAAUACCAACUCAGUAGAUAUAUUGCUAUAGGUUUGGUAUGUUAUGAAAAUUAGUGCAAACCAUUUGACAUUUAAAACCUUUUAAACAAUUCAAGAAGCUCUAACUUUCACUACAAAGACAUAUCCUUUGCUUUUUACUGUGUUUUUCUUAAAACACUUAUUUCUGUAUAAAAUACACAAUCCUAUGCUUUAGUUUAAAAAUAGUGAACUGUACUUUCAAUUAAUAUUUUAGAAGUGUAACUUAAUUUGUUCCCUGUUCUGAUACUGCGGAUAUGAUAGGUUAAAAAUAGCUAUUUUCAUCAAAUGUAACGUCUUAUAAAGACUUAAAUAGCUUCAUUCCUGUUUUAGAUCUGUAUUAACAAGAUGGUAGAUUUUUUGGCAUAUUAGAAAUUGUUAUCUCACUGGGAGAUACAAUUUGAGUAUCAGUUGCUUAUCGUAUAGUAUGACUGUGAUUGAAAAGUCAUCUAGACACCCAUUCUAAUUUUAGAUAGAUGUAAGUAGCAUGAAAUAAACCUUUUUCUAUCUGGCUUUAAAAGUGAACUCCUCCUGUAAUACUCUUUUCAUCUUACAUAUAAUCUUACCUUUUUCUUUUUCUCAUUUUGAAUUUCUGACUCUGAAUGAGCUUGUAUGGCAUUUGUGGGUUUUAUUUGAAUAGCACAUGCUGGGCAUAUGGCGAGUAUUGCAGUACAUACACGUGACAGUUUUGAAAGAUACUGCCCUUAACUCCCUACUUGAACACUGUCAGACCUUUAUGGAAACAAAUUACACAAAUCUUAAGGGACACUAGGAGCCAGUGCUGGUCCUGCCCUCAUGGGUGUCUGGUGAGGAGCUUGCAUCUGGGCCAUGCCCGCUUUUCCAUGGAGGUAACAUAGGAUUUUCUCACCCUUGAACCAGGCAGAGUGGUGCCCAGCA